rnacentral:tRNA from 2 species
GCCCCCAUCGUCUAGUGGCCUAGGACACCGGCCUUUCACGCCGGCAGCACGGGUUCGAAUCCCGUUGGGGGUGCCA